rnacentral:lncRNA from 1 species
UGUAAACAACAUGUGUUAUCAACUCCAUUAAAAAAAAAAAAUGGAAGUGUCAAUUACUUCAAAAGUAAACAGAAAUGUCCAUUUAUUUUAAGAAAUAGAAAGGACCUCAGUUCAAUAUCAUGUGUGGGUGGAAAACAAAAAAAAUGGAUGUGUAACAUUAUAAUCUACCAUGAGUUUAACCAAUGUAUUAAAAUUUAGGUUAAGUGAAUCAAGUCUUUCUCGAUGCAUCUCACUAUUAUAUUAAAUAAAAUGUGAUGUAAUAUAUUGAUUCAAUGGUGAAAAUAAACUUAUACGUGAUAAAUGACUUGUCACACUUGCCCAUAUUAGACAACCUAAAAUUUAUGUCUGCAGUUUGAUUUGGUUUUAAAAAAAUUAUCUGAAAUUUGAUUUGAUCUAAGUGAUUUUCAUAAAAGGGUGUCCAGCAGUAAUAUUCGGCAUUCACCUAUGAUUUUCAAUUUUUUGAACCAGUUUACAAGUUUAUUUUGGAUUAAUUUGGUUUACGGUAUCCUGUGGAAUGGAAACAUUAUGAGAUAGAUUCUUGGACAAUUUCAGAAAGUAAUCUCAUUUCAUAGCUUUUGAUAUUUAAAAUUAAUGCACACGUAUUAAGAGUAAGACAAUAAUUUUCAUAAAAAAAAUGAGGUGGCAGCAUCUUCUCAAUUCUCAUAUUUAUGUGCUGUAUGAGAACUUGACCCAUUGGCGGUGAUGGGGAUUGAUGAUGCUUUCAAAAACGAGCUUUUGGAGUAAUAAAAAUGAAAAUAGGUAUAAUAUUGAGUGAUGAAAAUUUUAUUUAAACCUCCUUCAAUAAAAAAAAUAUUUAAACCGUUGAAAUUGAAUAAACUUUUCCCAUAAAGGGCAGACUCACCUCAACAAUCAUCCUCAACCCUGUAUAAUAAUAUGCUAUGACAAAAGUGUU